rnacentral:rRNA from 1 species
AACGAACGCUGGCGGCAGGCUUAACACAUGCAAGUCGAACGCUCGUAGCAAUACGGGAGUGGCGGACGGGUGAGUAACGCGUGGGAACGUGCCCUGAGGUACGGAAUAACUGAGGGAAACUUCAGCUAAUACCGUAUGAGCCCCGAGAGGGGGAAAGAUUUAUCGCCUUGGGAGCGGCCCGCGUCGGAUUAGCUAGUUGGUGGGGUAACGGCCUACCAAGGCUUCGAUCCGUAGCUGGUCUGAGAGGACGAUCAGCCACACUGGGACUGAGACACGGCCCAGACUCCUACGGGAGGCAGCAGUGGGGAAUCUUGCGCAAUGGGGGGCAACCCUGACGCAGCCAUGCCGCGUGAACGAUGAAGGCCUUAGGGUUGUAAAGUUCUUUUACCCGUGACGAUGAUGACGGUAACGGGGAAUAAGCUCCGGCUAACUUCGUGCCAGCAGCCGCGGUAAU